CGGACGGGUGAGUAACGCGUGGGUAACCUGCCUUAUACUGGGGGAUAACAGCCAGAAAUGACUGCUAAUACCGCAUAAGCGCACAGAACCGCAUGGUUCCGUGUGAAAAACUCCGGUGGUAUAAGAUGGACCCGCGUUGGAUUAGCUAGUUGGCAGGGCAGCGGCCUACCAAGGCGACGAUCCAUAGCCGGCCUGAGAGGGUGAACGGCCACAUUGGGACUGAGACACGGCCCAG
rnacentral:rRNA from 1 species